AACAAGUGUUAAGCGUGAAGGAUUUGAACCUGCAGCAGGUUCGAGUUGAGCGAAGCGAAACAACGUUGCCAUAAGCAACGGGCCGAGAGGCCGAGGCGUAGCCGAGUUAUCCUGCACGACCCACCA
rnacentral:sRNA from 1 species